ACGGGACACUCAGUGUGAGCACCUGCCUCAAGGGUUUUGAAGAGCCGCAGGCCCGGAGGCCUACCUAGGGGUUCCUUCACUGAGGCAGUUCGCUAGACACAGAACACCCUGCUUUGAGGAGUUGAUUCAAGGAAGGUACCACUGGGUAACCUGUGUCUCUUUUGACUUGUUAGAAACCACAGGGAUGUAUGCUGCAUGUGCCCAUGGAAAUGGUGGCCUGAUGGAACUAGCCGAGCUUUCCCAUUUCGAAAGCUCCAUUCAUUCAUGUUGCCUUGAAGCUACCUGAAAUUCACUGCUGUUGACAGGCCUCUAGGCACCGUAGGCAUGGCUGUGGGAGGAGAAUGAGUUUUCUCUAGCUAAACUGGGUGCUUCCUUGGCCGGGGUGGAGCUCAUCGUGGCAUGCUCUAGAUCUAAAGGGAAACUCAACAUGAGUACUUGCCUCAAGGCAAGGCCCUGAAAAGACGUGCCUUUUCACAGGCAGGGGACAUAGGAGAUAUUAGGACUUUGUGUUCAGAAAGGGAGGUAUGCAGCUGUUCCCACGAGUCCUUAGUCGCUGUUCUGCUUUAUUUUAAAGGAAGUUCCCUUUUCAGCACUCCUAUAUCCCUUGGGUGUGCAUCAUUUCCCUCCAGGAUCACUGAGUACCUCCAGACCCCUGUGGGCCUGCUGAGCAACAUUGAGGAAGAUAGGUCGGUCCCUCGGAGGCCCUCUGUGUAUUUCGAGUGAUGGGCAACACACUGCACGUCCCUUAUGAGAGCUACAUUUCCAGAGCCCUCGCACAGCCUUCAGUACCUCAUUUCUGGCUAGUCCGAAGUGUCAUGGAAUACUUCGUCAUGGCCAUCGUCUGAGCUGCCAUGGGAAAACACUCUGCUUAGAAUUCUUCAAGGAACUCGUACCUGAAGUCACUCUGCUCGAGGAGAAAGUCAGCACCCUACCAUGCUGUGUCGCUACCGGGACACUCAGCGUGAGCACCUGCCUCGAGGUAACACCUACUGCAUGCUGUGACCCAUCUCAGCUGUGAGCACACAAGCCACAAGCAUGUGCUGAGUGCUGUGCGCCUCCCAGCCAGUCCCUGAAGGUGAGGGCGGCCCUGCAGACCCCAGCCCUCUCCUCCACGUCUAGUAGGUAGAAGACCCACCUCUGCUUGCCAUUCCAGAAGCGGUUCUGGGGAUGUCCUGGGAGGGCUUCUGCGGUUAUGCAGGUUGAGCCCCUGUUGCUACGCCGCCACUUCCCCACAAGAGCCUCCAGAGCAAGCAGUUUGCCCUGUUGCCUGAAUGACCUCCCAGAAGUUUUCUCAGGAAAGAAUCAGGGGUUUCUGUAGCAGCAUCUCCAGGCAGCUCUGCAUCUGGAUCCACGUUCACAUCUUCUGUGUAAACACCGAGAACCUUCCCUGACACGUGCCCCCGGCUGACCACCUCCGCAUGCCGAGCACAGGCCCCAGUGUGGGCGUCAGACUGACCGCCCGUCUCAGCCUCCUGUUGUUGUCAGAGCUGCUCCAGGCCCUGCUCAAGCCCCGUGCACCCAGCUUUCACAGGGCUGUCCUCCACCCCCACCUUCAGCAGGAGUUCACCUAAGUAUUUAAGUGAAGGGGUCCAGAGAUAAGAAAGGAAGCUGCAAACAAAGAAACAGAUGGAACCACCUGUGACCAAGAUGGCAACGAAUGUGACCUCCAACAGACCCCGAAUCUCAUCACGGUUGAAUUUACUAUAUCAGCAUAUUAAGUGACACACCCACCGGCGGCCAUGGCUGGACAUGAAGGACCAGAAACGGGUAAAAGGAGGUGGUACCCCAGCCUCUUGGAAGAAGCCCCGCCUCUUCCCCGGAAGGUCUCUUCAUGCCAUCACUAGCCUCCCUCCUCCUCCCUUUGUCUUUAUUGUUUAAAAUUAAACCUCUCUCUCCAGGAGGGCGAGAAGGCGACCUGUGAACUCA